rnacentral:tRNA from 1 species
ACCUUACUGGCUCAGUGGGAAGAACACAUGACUCCUAAUCUCGGGGUCAUGAGUUUAAGCCUCAUGUUGGGUA